UAUAGAAUGUGGUUUUUCUCUGAUCCAGGAGUAGUGUGGCCCAACUCUACUCCUAUCUACUUAAAAGACAACACAGGAGGCCUGCACAUUUGAGGUCACCUUGACAACACUGAAACCUCUUCUUCCCAUCUCAACAAUAAAAAGGUGGUGAAUAUCUUCAGAUACACAUCAAAUAUGCCUUUCUGAAGGUUUCAUCUACAGCAUCU
rnacentral:lncRNA from 1 species